GGCUCGUUGGUCUAGGGGUAUGAUUCCUGCUUCGGGUGCAGGAGGUCCCGGGUUCAAAUCCCGGACGAGCAU
rnacentral:tRNA from 1 species